AAAAUUACUGAUUUCUCAAAAAAUACUGGUCCAGUCACCUUGCUGUUUUCACAACUUGAAUCCUCAUGAAAAAGUAUAUAAGUAUGCCGAAGGACGAAAGUCACAUCUUUUUCAAGAC